AAUUAUCAAGGAUUUCUGUAGAAAACAAAGAGAGACUGCUGGAAAGAUUGUUCAAAAAAAAAAAAAAGAAAAAUUACAUCACUAACAAAAGCAAUAUAGCACCGAAGUCAGAAUCAAGAUUGAUAGACUGCAGGCUGAUAAGGAGAGAUUGUACAUUGAUAAAUAUGCCUAAGUUCUUUUGCCACUUCUAUCAUUAUUGGCCUAUCUUCUGCCGAAUCAUUAAUGCAUCUAAGUGCAAGACUUCUAAAAGCUUCCAAUUGUUGCUCCUUCCCAAGCAUUGCUGCCUCUUCAACAAUAAUGGGAUCCACCAUCUCCUGAAAUAUAUUCAUUUCAAUAGAUUUUUUCACUUGAUUCACCAGAAGAAAUUCAUCUCCUUUUUCAGUGCGUGACAAAUCGGAUGAUCU
rnacentral:misc_RNA from 1 species